rnacentral:tRNA from 1 species
UCCCUGGUGGCUCAGCAGGUUAAGGGCCUGGCAUUGUCACUGCUGUUGCACAGGUUUGAUUCCUGGCUGGGGGA